rnacentral:rRNA from 1 species
AGAGUUUGAUCCUGGCUCAGAACGAACGCUGGCGGCAGGCCUCAAACAUGCAAGUCUAGGGGGUGUAGCAAUACAUCACCGGCGGACGGGUGCGUAACGCGUGGGAAUAUACCUUUUGGUUCGGAACAACUGAGGGAAACUUCAGCUAAUACCGAAUGUGCCCUAACGGGGAAAGAUUUAUCGCCAAAGGAUUAGCCCGCGUAGGAUUAGCUAGUUGGUGAGGUAAUGGCUCACCAAGGCUCCGAUCCUUAGCUGUUCUGAGAGGAAGAUCAGCCACACUGGGACUGAGACACGGCCCAGACUCCUACGGGAGGCACCAGUUGGGAAUCUUGGACAAUGGGGGAAACCCUGAUCCAGCCAUGCCGCGUGAGUGAUGAAGGCCUUCGGGUUGUAAA